rfam:Capsicum annuum cultivar Zunla-1 chromosome 9, whole genome shotgun sequence
UGAUGAUGAUAAGGAAAAUUCUUAAGUAUGCCCUUAAAUCUCUCCCAAGCUUGGUAGAGAUUUUAUCCUUUUUUCUGCGUAAAACUCAGAAUAUCACUUCUCAAAUG